ACCAAGCAGCAGGGAAUAAUAGUAAAGAGUAUUUAAUAUUUAACCCUAGCACACGAUUUGAACACACUGUUCAAAUAAAAUUCAAACCAAACUAUAAAACUGAAAUGAAAAUGAAUCAAUGAUGUAAAAGGUAAAGUAAAGAUGCCAGACAAUAGCAGAUAGCAAUGCCAGAAUAAGUAAAACACAGAAUGCCAAUAUUGUCAAAAGUAAAAGGUAAAGUAUGAAGUAUAACCAUAGACAGCAGAUUCUCUUGCGAAGUGGGUACACGCAUUACCACAAAAUGAAGAAACAAGAUCACCACAACAGAAAGAUAACAAGAAGUGAAUUGAGAGCUUAUAUGAAGUGCUCAAACCAGCGAAGCUGAGAAUCCCUCCUGCGAGGCCCACAUAGCCAAGAUAACCAGGAUAAUGUAAAUGAAAAGAGCAACAUAAAACAUAAAAUUGAGCAGGUCAAUCAAUGGCGCUAACGUCAGCCAUUGUAUACAAUACAUAAUAUAUUCCUAUCACAUCAAUUAAUGGGAAAAGUACUAAAUCUUCAAAGAAGGGAAGAUCAGCUGGGAAUAAAAGCAAAAGAAGAAAUAGAUGGAACAUUUCAUGCAACCACGACCUCAAAUUCGUUUAAUAAGCAAAGAUGGUGGAGAAACAAUCAAAUCAUCAAAUGAAGGCAAAAACCCUACGCCAGCCAACAGAAGUGGAGGCAAAACGCAACGAUUAAUAGGAGAGGAAAAUAAUCAGCAUAAAACCUGAAGCAAGUCAAAUCAAUUCAAAUAGUUAUAAAUUGCGUAGAUUGUUACUGAAUUAUCAUACCGCUCCGAUAAGUCUGAUAUUAACGUUAAUACUAAUGCAGAUGCAAGUAAGUCAAUGUAGUACAACGUGUGAUGAACAAAGCUAAUCAAAUAAUAAACACCACAUACUACCAUAUAAUUACUG